rnacentral:rRNA from 1 species
AAGCGGAGGAAGAUUCCGUAGGUGACUUGCGAGUAAAACAUGCCAAUAAGCGAAAACUUUCUACAACGGAUCUCUUGGCUCUGGCAUCGAUGAAGAACGCAGCGAAAUGCGAUAAGUAAUGUGAAUUGCAGAAUUCAGUGAAUCAUCGAAUCUUUGAACGCACAUUGCGCCCGCCAGUAUUCUGGCGGGCAUGCCUGUUCGAGCGUCAUUACAACCCUCAGGCCCCCGGGCCUGGCGUUGGGGAUCGGCGGAGGCCCUCCGUGGGCACACGCCGUCCCCCAAAUACAGUGGCGGUCCCGCCGCAGCUUCCAUCGCGUAGUAGCUAACACCUCGCGACUGGAGAGCGGCGCGGCCACGCCGUAAAACCCCCAACUCUUCUGAAGUUGACCUCGAAUCAGGUAGGAAUACCCGCUGAACUUAAGCAUAUCAA